rnacentral:misc_RNA from 1 species
UUAUAGCCCCGAUGGAAGUUAGCAACCAUGUUGCACGAACAGCGGGAAAAAGG